UACGUAGGUGUCAAGCGUUGUCCGGAUUUAUUGGGCGUAAAGCGCCCGCAGGCGGCUUGCCAAGUCUGACGUGAAAUCUCCCGGCUCAACUGGGGGGGUGCAUCGGAAACUGGCAGGCUUGAGGCAGGGAGAGGGAUGUGGAAUUCCAGGUGUAGUGGUGAAAUGCGUAGAUAUCAGGAGGAACACCGGUGGUGUAAACGGCUUUCUGGACCAUAACUGACGCUGAGGCACGAAAGCGUGGGUAGCAAACGGG
rnacentral:rRNA from 1 species